CCCUAGCCCUGAUUGCAGCGGAAAUCCUUAAUUGUUUUUCUUUAAAACAAUUAAGAUUGAAGAGGAAAGCAGGAAAUAGC
rnacentral:sRNA from 1 species